rfam:Cricetulus griseus cell line CHO-K1, whole genome shotgun sequence.
AUACUUACAUGGCAGGGGAAUAUCAUGGUCACAAAAGUGGCUUUGCCAGGAUGAGGUGUCUCCAUUGUACUCAGCAUGUAUUGACUCUUGUGAUUUUCCUAAAUUUGGGAAACUUGACUACAUAAUUUGUGGUAGUAGCACUUUGUUCAAUAUA